GACGAACGCUGGCGGCGUGCUUAACACAUGCAAGUCGAACGGAAAGUCCCUGCUUUUGUGGGUUGCUCGAGUGGCGAACGGGUGAGUAACACGUGAGUAACCUGCCCUUGACUUUGGGAUAACUUCAGGAAACUGGGGCUAAUACCGGAUAUGAGCUCCUGCUGCAUUGUGGGGUUUGGAAAGUUUCGGCGGUUGGGGAUGGACUCGCGGCUUAUCAGCUUGUUGGUGGGGUAGUGGCUUACCAAGGCUUUGACGGGUAGCCGGCCUGAGAGGGUGACCGGCCACAUUGGGACUGAGAUACGGUCCAGACUCCUACGGGAGGCAGCAGUGGGGAAUAUUGCACAAUGGGCGGAAGCCUGAUGCAGCAACGCCGCGUGCGGGAUGACGGCCUUCGGGUUGUAACCCGCUUUCGCCUGUGACGAAGCGUGAGUGACGGUAAUGGGUAAAGAAGCACCGGCUAACUACGUG
rnacentral:rRNA from 1 species